CCCCCCCCCCCUGCACUUUUUUUUGUUGUUGUUGUUGCUUUCCCACGCUGGCUGAAUGUGACUUGACCCCAUUUCAAAAAAGUUUGACAUAGUGCUUCAACAUUUCCGCAUUCCUCCGCGACUACAAAGGCUGCAGCCGCCUCCUUCUGCUUUCUGUCUCUGCUCUCUGUCUUCACACUCAAUGAAAUCCUUCACGUGCCUCUCCCGAAGCCUGCCAAGCACCGCAAGGGUCGCCACCAGCGCAGCGACAAGAGGCCGCACUGGGGACCACGACUCCUGCGUGUGCGCACACACGCAGAUGCGCCCACGUGCACACUGAUGGGCGCGCUCCGGGGUCCGGAGCUGCUCACCGCGGGUUUCCAGUUCACAUCACUGCAACACCAAGUCCAAUGGAAGAGGGAAAAUCCACUUCUCCAACAGAGAAAAAGACUAGAAGGAAGCUCCCAAAAUGUUAAAGCCCUGCAAGCUAUUUGGCAUAUGAAGGUCUUGACCUGAGAAAACCAUCUUGGAUAACCGUGGCAAGGAGAAGGAAAAAUGCAACACCUAGGAGAUUUCAGUAAACAGUAGAAUCAUGCCAACCUAAUCUGUGUUAAAAUGCUUGGAAUGUGGGAGCCGCUGAUGAUGCCUGUUGUCUGUGUGUCUGACUGAAUCCUUUCUUUACUCAGAGCAGCAAAGCAAAGCCUGGGAACCAGGCCAAAUGCCUGCCACUUACCUUAAAUUGAUCAGCCACUUUGAGAUUAAAACUCCUGAAAGCUGCCACACCGUGAAAACAAGGCCCCCUUCACAUUAAAGGCAAAUUGCGACUUUGAGUUUGCUGUGAUCUUUUUUCCAUUUUAUCCAGUUUUUCACAGUGCACACUUUUUUUUUCCUUUCCAUUUAUGCUCCAAUGUAGAAGCCAAUAGUUACAGCAUCUUGGCCAAGCAUUCAUUAAGGUUUAUAAGACCAAAAUUUAUGGUUAUUUAGGAGUUGGC
rnacentral:lncRNA from 1 species